rnacentral:rRNA from 1 species
UAAUACCGCAUGUAGUCCCUACGUCGCAUGGCCUGGGGAAGAAAGCGGGGGAUCUUCGGACCUCGCGCUAGAAGAUGGGCCCGCGCCCGAUUAGCUUGUUGGUGGGGUAAAAGCCUACCAAGGCUGCGAUCGGUAGCUGGUUUGAGAGGAUGGUCAGCCACACUGGGACUGAGAGAGGGCCCANACUCCUACGGGAGGCAGCAGUCUAGAAGAUUCGGCAAUGGGGGAAACCCUGACCGAGCGACGCCGCGUGCGGGAUGAAGCUUUUCGGAGUGUAAACCGCUUUCGCUGGAGAUGAAAGCUGGAGCAGUUAAUAGCUGGUUCAGUUGACAGUAUCCAGUAAAGAAGCACCGGCUAACUCCGUGCCAGCAGCCGCGGUAAUACGGGGGGUAGCGAGCGUUAAUCGGAUUUAUUGGGCGUAAAGGGGGCCUAGGCGGCUAAGUAAGUCAGGGGUGAAAUCUGCACGGCUCACCCGGCAAAUUGCCCUUGAUACUGCAUGGCUCGAGUACGGACGAGGGAAGCGGAAUUCCGUGUGUAGCGGUGAAAUGCGUAGAUAUACGGAGGAACACCAGUGGCGAAGGCGGCUACCUGGAGCGACACUGACGCUGAAGCCCGAAAGCGUGGG